rnacentral:rRNA from 1 species
UAAUACAGAGGUCUCGAGCGUUAGGCGGAAUCACUGGGCUUAAAGCGUGUGUAGGCGGAGUGCUAAGUACCUUGUGAAAUCCCACAGCUCAACUGUGGAACUGCUUGGUAUACUGGUUCUCUUGAGCAACCUAGGGGCGAGCGGAACAAAUGGUGGAGCGGUGAAAUGCGUAGAUAUCAUUUGGAACGCCAAUGGUGAAAACAGCUCGCUGGGGGUUUGCUGACGCUGAGACACGAAAGCCAGGGGAGCAAACGGGAUUAGAUACCCCGGUAGUCCUGGCCCUAAACGAUGUCGACUAGAUCGUAGUGCCUCUGACGGUAUUACGGUCGAAGCAAAAGUGCUAAGUCGACCGCCUGGGAAGUACGGUCGCAAGGCUA